UUGUGGGUGCUUUAUAUGAGCUACAGUCAAUUAUGAUUGCAUUUCUACUUACAUUAAAUAUACCAUUAUUAAUAUCCGCCUACUGUAUGAUAGCUUGCAAAUUAAUUAGCUAAAUAACGUUAGCCUGCCUAGCUGGAACUAGUGAAGAACGAAAAUGUUUUAUUUCUACAAUUUCCUAAAUCUAACCAAACAAAAACAUCAUUACUGUUACGAGACGUGUUUGCAUUUGUAGCACCAUUUCUAACUGAUUUACAUUCGUCUUUACGUACACUUGUAUGUUGACUCCAUAUCUUGACGUUGAAGUUUUAGUUUUUGGCGGACUUUUCUUAGCGGAAGUACAAUCGUCACGAAUUGAAUUAUGGUGAGUUCAGGCUCCGAAGUAUGAACAUAAUAGUACACUCGCAAACUCGACUAAAAACGAGUGCUGAUGGGCUUACGUUGCAAACUUCCCUUGCUUGGAUAAUAAUUUGGACGGCCCUUAAUGGUGACAGGGAUUCCCCCAAGGGAAGGUGAGGAGAAAGAUGCCUUCUCCCUCUUCAGCUGGCACUGGAGCCCAAGAACAGGAAGCUGGCCCAGACUGCCCUCACAGGAAUGCAGGGGUGGAUCAGCUUAAUAUUGCGGAAAGAAUGUUGCUUCCAAUGUAAUUGUCUGCAUCAUUUCCAAUCCCCCAUAUUUUUUGGGGUAAAUAUAUAUAUCCAUUCACGUAUGCAUACAUAUACACAUAUAUACAUACACAUACCUACAUAGACAUACAUACUUUUUUUAAAGAGUAUACCUUUAUUAUUAUUCCCCGCAAACCCUACCACCGAUCCCCCAAUUGGAGUAAACUGAUAAACAUUUCUGUUUUUACCUUCAAUUUAUACAUCUUAUACACAUUUUACAGACACAGUCUACUUUAUAAUAGUUCUCUCUUGUUUGUUCUUAGUCCUUCCUCUAUUUCUGUUGUCCAUCCAGUUUGAUUUCCACUAGUAACUGUGCUAUUUCACAAUAGCUCCGCACCUAUACACAUUUCACAGAUCCCGUAUGCCCUACAUUGUUUAUCUUGUUAUUAGUCCCACCCUUCAGCUCCACUCAACCUUUCCCAUCUAUCUUCCAACAUCAUCCAUUUCGGAUUUUUAUUUGCCAUAUAUUUUUCAACUGUGCUGUGAUGCUUCACAAAAGAUUUGAAUCUUCCUAUUCUCAUAGCUUCCACGGAUUGUAAAUUAAAAAUAAACAUUUUUGCUAAAAUAAUUAUUAUAUUAUUGAUUGAUUGACUAUGGCUUUUCAAAUCCCCCAGUAUUGCUAUCUGUAGCGUUAGUUCUACGCAAAUGUUGCAAUUCUUCAACCAUUCCUGGACCUGUGACCAAAAACGAGCUACAUGCGGACAAUACCAAAAUAAAUGGUCUAAUGACUCUGC